rnacentral:rRNA from 1 species
CCCUUGGAUGUCCUGGGCCGCACGCGUGCUACACUGAUGCAUACAGCGAGUACUCCCAGCUCCGAGAGGCUGCUGGUAAUCAGCAAUAUGCAUCGUGAUGGGGAUAGAUCUUUGGAAUUAUAGAUCUUGAACGAGGAAUUCCUAGUAAUCGCAGGUCAUCACCCUGCGUUGACUAAGUCCCUGCCCUUUGUACACACCGCCCGUCGCUCCUACCGAUUUCGAGUGAUCCGGUGAAUCAUUCGGACCGCGGCCCCUAGGCAUGCGGAAAGUCUAGUAAACCAUAUCACUUAGAGGAAGGAGAAGUCGUAACA